GCGGGCGUAGUUCAGUGGUAGAACGUCUGCUUGCCAAGCAGAAGGUCGGCGGUUCAAAUCCGCUCGUCCGCU
rfam:Candidatus Aminicenantes bacterium 4484_214 ex4484_214_scaffold_3799, whole genome shotgun sequence.